AGGAAACUGAGGCUUGGUGAAGUUACGAAACUUGUCCAAAAUCACACAGCUUGUAAAGGGCACAACCAACAUUCAGAGCCAGAUUGUAAAAGUUAAAA